ensembl:lncRNA
AAAAGAUCUCUAUUUAAGAUAAGCAAACAAGACGAGGAGAUCAGGAGAAAAAAGAAAGUUGACGCCAAAUCGAAUCCUCUCUGAAAAGGAACGUGUGUAAAGCUAGCCGGUGCGUCGCGCGCUUCGUCUUUAACAGUCGGUUCUCGGGAACAAUGCAGCGACGCUUCUCCGCAGCAAUAAAUCUUCGCCCUAGAACUGACAACAUUCUAACCCGGCGCUCCUGCCCGAUGCGCCGUCAUGAGACUGCGGCUCGCGCUUGGAUCGCACUGACAUAUCUGAGACCUUCUGCGCAGCGUGGAGCUCUGACAGGCCGAGCGACUCGCUAUCGUGUUACAGCAGGAUCCUCUGGCAUUCGCCUCGAUGAUGAGAGUGAGAACACCGAACGGUGAAUAUACGCAGGCUGGUGUGUGUGUGCCGGUGAAGCUGGUGUUACACCCCCUGACAAGCCUGAGAAAACAAGGAGCGUCUGAAUUCUCCUGCUCUUACAGCACACACACACACACACAAUCAGACCUUAAGAACGUUUUUUUUUGUGUGAUGUGCAGGUGCGCUAGUGUCAGUGCUGCUGUCAUAGAAAAUGAAUCAACACCUUCUGACCAAUCAGAUUUGAGAGUUCAACAGCGCUCUUCUGACAGUGAAAUCAUUUAAGACUUGUGCGAGACAAAGCUAUUUGAACUACUUGCAGGACUUAAGGCGUGUUGUCGUCAUGGUUACGCUGAGACUACACACCACUCCUGAAUUUUUUGUGUAAAUUCGGUUAUCUUGUGGACUAAAAAAAACCGCAAGGGGUGUGUAAACUUAUGAGCGCAACUAUACAUGUGCGUAAAAUUUUUUUUUUUUUUUUUUUGGGGAUUACAGGCAGCAUGUCAUCCAAAAUCUACAAUUUAUAGCAUUUAAAAAAAAAAAAAAAAAAAUCUCUGAAAAGCAUGUCUCCCCUUUGAAGAAUUUCGCCGUCACAAUAGGUCAAAGGUCAGAUGUUUCCGUCAUGUAGUAAGAGUGGUGUGGGUAAACAGCGUCCGGCCGAGCCGCUCUGAGCAUACUCUGGCACAGUGAGGCGUGGGUAUGGGUUACACAUACCUCACAGCCCUGAAGACGAGCUCGGCCACGCCCUGCAGACUCACAAAUACCCACGCCGGGUUACAUUCCGUCACUCGGGAUGUAUUUUGAAAUAAUAUUCUCUUCGUGCUCAUGACCCCCGGUUUUGGGACGCGUUUUAAUAACGAGUGUUGCUGAGCGGCUAUAACUGUAUCUGCUGCAUGCCUUCAGUCCGAAUAACAACACCGGCAUGGGCAUCGUGUGACGCUCAGACGAUACACGCGUACUGUAGCUGAAGAGACACCAACCCUCAGUCCUUCACUUCUAAUCGAACACCUCAGUGAAAGUAAAACUCAUAACGUAUACCGUAGAGAUGAUGAUUUACCAUCACGGCAUGAACUACUGCUGUAAAUGUUAUCAUCCUUACAUCAUCAUCAUCAUCAUCAUCAUCAUUACAUCAUCAUCAUCAUCAUCAUCAUCAUCCUUACAUCAUCAUCAUCAUUACAUCAUCAUCCUUACAUCAUCAUCAUCAUCAUCAUCAUCAUCAUCAUCAUCAUUACAUCAUCAUCAUCAUCAUCAUCAUCCUUACAAUCAUCAUCAUCAUCAUCAUCAUUACAUCAUCAUCUCAAAAAUAAUGUUUUUUUAUCACUGAAAAAAGAGAAAAUAUAAUUAAAAAAUUACGUUCUUAAAAAUUACGAUUAAGUUCUAAAUUUUAACAUCACAUCAACUGAUUAUCUGAUAGAUAGAUAGACAGAUAGAUAGAUAGAUAGAUAGAUAGAGAGAAAGAGACAGACAGACAAACAGACAGAGAGAUAGAUAGAGAGAGAGAGAUAGGUAGAUAGGUAGAGAGAUAGGUAGAUAGAUAGAUACAUAGAUAGAGAGAAAGAGAGAGAUCGGUAGAUAGAUAGAGAGAAAGAGAGAGACAGGUAGAUAGAGAGAAAGAGAGAGAUAGGUAGAUAGAUAGAUAGAGAGAAAGAGAGAGAUAGGUAGACAGAUAGAGAGAGAGAGAGAUUGAGAUAGGUAGAUAGAUAGAUAGAGAG